GGUUAAGCGACUAAGCGUACACGGUGGAUGCCCUGGCAGUCAGAGGCGAUGAAGGACGUGCUAAUCUGCGAAAAGCGCCGGCGAGGUGAUAUGAACCCUUGACCCGGCGAUGUCCGAAUGGGGAAACCCAGUGCAAUCCGUUGCACUAUCGUUAACUGAAUACAUAGGUUAACGAGGCGAACCGGGGGAACUGAAACAUCUAAGUACCCCGAGGAAAAGAAAUCAACCGAGAUUCCCCCAGUAGCGGCGAGCGAACGGGGAGCAGCCCGGAGUCUGAAUCAGCUUGUGUGUUAGUGGAACGGUCUGGAAAGUCCGACGGUACAGGGUGAUAGUCCCGUACACGAAAAUGCACAUGCUGUGAACUCGAAGAGUAGGGCGGGACACGUGGUAUCCUGUCUGAAUAUGGGGGGACCAUCCUCCAAGGCUAAAUACUCCUGACUGACCGAUAGUGAACCAGUACCGUGAGGGAAAGGCGAAAAGAACCCCGGCGAGGGGAGUGAAAAAGAACCUGAAACCGUGUACGUACAAGCAGUGGGAGCCUCUUUAUGGGGUGACUGCGUACCUUUUGUAUAAUGGGUCAGCGACUUAUAUUCUGUAGCAAGGUUAACCGUAUAGGGGAGCCGAAGGGAAACCGAGUCUUAACUGGGCGUUAAGUUGCAGGGUAUAGACCCGAAACCCGGUGAUCUAGCCAUGGGCAGGUUGAAGGUUGGGUAACACUAACUGGAGGACCGAACCGACUAAUGUUGAAAAAUUAGCGGAGAUGCAAACUACGAAUACCGAAGAAUGUUAUCACGGGAGACACACGGCGGGUGCUAACGUCCGUCGUGAAGAGGGAAACAACCCAGACCGCCAGCUAAGGUCCCAAAGUCAUGGUUAAGUGGGAAACGAUGUGGGAAGGCACAGACAGCCAGGAUGUUGGCUUAGAAGCAGCCAUCAUUUAAAGAAAGCGUAAUAGCUCACUGGUCGAGUCGGCCUGCGCGGAAGAUGUAACGGGGCUAAACCAUGCACCGAAGCUGCGGCAGCGACGAAAGGCGUAGUCGAUGGGAAACAGGUUAAUAUUCCUGUACUUGGUGUUACUGCGAAGGGGGGACGGAGAAGGCUAUGUCAGCCGGGCGACGGUUGUCCCGGUUUAAGCAUGUAGGCGGAGGUUCCAGGUAAAUCCGGUACCUUAUUAACGCUGAGGUGUGAUGACGAGGCACUACGGUGCUGAAGUGAUAAAUGCCCUGCUUCCAGGAAAAGCCUCUAAGCAUCAGGUAACACGAAAUCGUACCCCAAACCGACACAGGUGGUCAGGUAGAGAAUACCAAGGCGCUUG
rnacentral:rRNA from 1 species